GAUGAACGCUGGCGGCGUGCCUAAUACAUGCAAGUCGAGCGCACAAAGGAGGUGCUUGCUCCUAUUGCGUGAGCGGCGGACGGGUGAGUAACACGUGGGUAACCUGCCUUUGAGCCUGGGAUAACUUCUGGAAACCGAUGCUAAUACCGGAUAAAAUCUUUAAACACAAGGUUCAAUAGUGAAAGAUGCAUUUGCUUCACCUAAUAGUGAUACCGCGGUCGCAUAGGUUAGUGGUUAGGGAAACGCCUAACCAAGCGAAGAUAGAGAAGCGGCCCUGAGAGGGUGAUCGCCCACACGGGAACUGAGACACGGUCCAAACUCCUACGGGAGGCAGCAUAGGGGAAUCUUGGGCAAGGGGGGAAAGCCUGACGGAGCAAGGCGGCGUGGGUGAGGAAGGUCUUCGGAUCGUAAACCUCUUUUAUUGGGGAGGAAGAUAGGUAGAAGUAAAUAUUCAUGUAUUGACGGUACCUACUCAGAAAGCGACGGCUAACUACGUG
rnacentral:rRNA from 1 species